AUUGAACGCUGGCGGCAGGCCUAACACAUGCAAGUCGAGCGAGCGGCGGACGGGUGAGUAAUGUCUGGGAAACUGCCUGAUGGAGGGGGAUAACUCCUGGACACGGCAGCUAAUACCGCAUACCAUCAUAUGUGCCCAGGUGGGAUUAGCUAGUAGGUGGGGUAACGGCUCACCUAGGCGACGAUCCCUAGCUGGGCUGAGAGGAUGACCCGCCACGCUGGAACUGAGACACGGUCCAGAAUCCUACGUGAGGCAGCAGUGGGGAAUAUUGCACAAUGGGGGCAAGCCUGAUGCGGCCACGCCGGGUGUGUGAAGAAGGCCUUCGGGUUGUAAAGCACUGUAAGCGGGGAGGCGUUAACAGCAGAAGAAGCACCGGCUAACUCCGUGCCAGCAGCCGCGGUAAUAC
rnacentral:rRNA from 1 species